rnacentral:rRNA from 1 species
CCUACGGGUGGCAGCAGUGAGGAAUAUUGGUCAAUGGACGAGAGUCUGAACCAGCCAAGUAGCGUGAAGGAUGACUGCCCUAUGGGUUGUAAACUUCUUUUAUAAAGGAAUAAAACGAGGCACGUGUGCCUUUUUGCAUGUACUUUAUGAAUAAGGAUCGGCUAACUCCGUGCCAGCAUCCGCGGUACUACGGAGGAUCCGAGCUUUAUCCGGAUUUAUUGGGUUUAACGGGAGCGUAGAUGGGUUGUUAAGUCAGAUGUGAAAGUGUGCGGCUCAACCGUAAAAUUGCAAUUGAUACUGGCAGUCGUGAGUACAGUUGAGGUAGGCGGAAUUCGUGGUGUAGCGGUGAAAUGCUUAGAUAUCACGAAGAACCCCGAUUGCGAAGGCAGCUUACUAAACUGUGACUGACAUUGAUGCUCGAAAGUGUGGGUAUCAAACAGGAUUAGAUACCCUUGUAGUC